rnacentral:rRNA from 1 species
AGGAUAAGCGCUGGCGGCGUGCCUUACGCAUGCAAGUCGAACGGCUCUUUCGGGAGCAGUGGCGGACGGGUGAGUAACACGUGCGUGACCUGACACUCGGUGGGGGAUACCCGUCCGAAAGGGCGGCUAAUACCGCAUACGUUCGUCCGGGGUGCUGGGCGAAGAAAGGCCUUCGGGUCGCGGAGUGAGGGGCGUGCGGCCGAUUAGCUAGUUGGCGGGGUAAAGGCCCACCAAGGCAGUGAUCGGUAGCUGGGCUGAGAGGCCGGACAGCCACACUGGGGACUGAGACACGGCCCAGACUCCUACGGGAGGCAGCAGCGAGGAAUUUUGCGCAAUGGGGGAAACCCUGACGCAGCAACGCCGCGUGAGUGAUGAAGACCUUCGGGCUGUAAAGCUCUGGUCGGAGGGAAGAACACAAUGACGGUACCCUCCAAGAAACGCCCCGGCUAACUACGUGCCAGCACGCCGC